rnacentral:rRNA from 1 species
GGAGUUUGGUCCGUGUCUCAGUACCAAUGUGGGGGACCUUCCUCUCAGAACCCCUACUGAUCGUCGCCUCGGUGGGCCGUUACCCCGCCGACAAGCUAAUCAGACGCAUCCCCAUCCCUUACCGAUGAAUCUUUGCUCCUCGUUAGAUGCCUGCAAAGGAGAACAUAAGGCAUUAAUCCGACUUUCGCCGGGCUAUUCCUUAGUAAGGGGAAGGUUGGAUACGCGUUACUCACCCGUGCGCCGGUCGCCGACAAGGAAAGCAAGCUUCCCUCUCGCUGCCCCUCGACUUGCAUGUGUUAAGCCUGUAGCUAGCGUUCAUC